CCGCAUGGUGCAGGGGUAAAAACUCCGGUGGUAUGAGAUGGACCCGCGUCUGAUUAGCUAGUUGGUGGGGUAACGGCCUACCAAGGCGACGAUCAGUAGCCGACCUGAGAGGGUGACCGGCCACAUUGGGACUGAGACACGGCCCAAACUCCUACGGGAGGCAGCAGUGGGGAAUAUUGCACAAUGGGGGAAACCCUGAUGCAGCGACGCCGCGUGAGCGAAGAAGUAUUUCGGUAUGUAAA
rnacentral:rRNA from 1 species